rnacentral:lncRNA from 1 species
AACCGACACAGCCGACAACCGUGAAAACCCUAUCUUUCAAGGUUCUUUUUACCUCACACAGAUAUAUCAAUAUAAUUUUGGUUCAAGCUAUAUAGGAGGCAAAAUCCGACUCUCCCGACAACACAUGCGGCUCUGGACGUCCUCUGGUGAGGCAGAACCCAAAUGAUCCGACCGGUUGACCUUGAAGACUGACCAUUGACCAAGCUGCACCACGGACGAUGCAGCCCAAGGACUGACCCUGCUUAGACUGACUUGACGACUGCUUGAGACCAGACCGACAGGACCCAACAAUGACUCGAACGACAAG